rnacentral:rRNA from 1 species
AUACGAAGGGGGCUAGCGUUGUUCGGAAUUACUGGGCGUAAAGCGCAUGUAGGCGGACCAUCAAGUUGGAGGUGAAAGCCCAAGGCUCAACCUUGGAAUUGCCUUCAAAACUGGUGGUCUGGAGCAUAUUAGAGGCAGGUGGAAUUCCGAGUGGAGAGGUGAAAUUCGUAGAUAUUCGGAGGAACACCGGUGGCGAAGGCGACCUGCUGGGAUAUUGCUGACGCUGAGAUGCGAAAGCGUGGGGAGC